AGCAGCCGCGGUAAUUCCAGCUCCAAUAGCGUAUAUUAAAGUUGUUGCAGUUAAAAAGCUCGUAGUUGAACCCCUUUCGGGAUCAAUAUGUCGGUCGUGCCUUCGGUACGUACUGGCAUCAUUGGUUUCUCCCUUCUGACAAACCAUGAUGUCAUUAAUUUGGUGUUAUGGGGAGUUAGGACUGUUACUUUAGAAAAAAUUAGAGUGUUUAAAACAGGCAUUAGCUUGAAUACAUUAGCAUGGAAUAAUGAAAUAGGACGUUUGACCCUAUUUUGUUGGUUUUCUAGGAUCGACGUAAUGAUUAAUAGGGAUAGUUGGGGGGCAUUAGUAUUCAAUUGUCAGAGGUGAAAUUCUUGGAUUUAUUGAAGACUAACUACUGCGAAAGCAUUUGCCAAGGAUGUUUUCAUUAAUCAAGAACGAAAGUUAGGGGGAUCGAAGACGAUCAGAUACCGUCGUAGUCUUAACCAUAAACUAUGCCGACUAGGGAUCGGAUGAUGUUAAUUUUUUAAUUGACUCAUUC
rnacentral:rRNA from 1 species